rnacentral:rRNA from 1 species
GACGAACGCUGGCGGUGUGCUUAACACAUGCAAGUCGAGCGGUAAGGCCCUUUCGGGGGUACACGAGCGGCGAACGGGUGAGUAACACGUGGGUGACCUGCCCUCAGCUCUGGGAUAAGCCUGGGAAACCGGGUCUAAUACUGGAUAUGACUCCAUGACGCAUGUUGUGGGGUGGAAAGCCUUGUGCGGCUGAGGAUGGGCCCGCGGCCUAUCAGCUUGUUGGUGGGGUGAUGGCCUACCAAGGCGACGACGGGUAGCCGGCCUGAGAGGGCGACCGGCCACACUGGGACUGAGACACGGCCCAGACUCCUACGGGAGGCAGCAGUGGGGAAUCUUGCGCAAUGGGCGAAAGCCUGACGCAGCGACGGCGCGUGAGGGAUGACGGCCU